rnacentral:rRNA from 1 species
AGAGUUUGAUCCUGGCUCAGGACGAACGUUGGCGGUGCGCUUAAUGCAUGCAAGUCGAGGGAGAACCAUUUGAUUCGUAAGAUUCGAAUGGGGAAACCGGCGAACGGGUGCGUAACACGUGAGGAACCUGCCCUGAAGAUCGGGAUAGCCCGGGGAAACCCGGAUUAAUACCGAAUAUCCUCUCCGGACCGCAUGGUCUGGUGAGGAAAUGGUCCGCCGCUUCAGGAUGGCCUCGCGGCCUAUCAGCUAGUUGGUGAGGUAACGGCUCACCAAGGCUAAGACGGGUAGCUGGUCUGAGAGGACGAUCAGCCACACUGGGACUGAGACACGGCCCAGACUCCUACGGGAGGCAGCAGCAGGGAAUAUUGCACAAUGGGCGAAAGCCUGAUGCAGCGACACCGCGUGCGGGAUGAAGGCCUUCGGGUUGUAAACCGCUUUCAGGAGGGACGAAAAUGACGGUACCUCCAGAAGAAGGCCCGGCCAACUACGUGCCAGCAGCCGCGGUAACACGUAGGGGCCAAACGUUGUCCGGAUUUAUUGGGCGUAAAGGGCUCGUAGGCGGUUCAACAAGUCGAUCGUGAAAACCCGGGGCUCAACCCCGGGACGCCGGUCGAAACUGUUGUGACUAGGGUCCGGUAGAGGUGAGUGGAAUUCUCGGUGUAGCGGUGGAAUGCGCAGAUAUCGAGAGGAACACCAGUUGCGAAGGCGGCUCACUGGGCCGGUACCGACGCUAAGGAGCGAAAGCAUGGGGAGCAAACAGGAUUAGAUACCCUGGUAGUCCAUGCCGUAAACUGUGAACACUAGGUGUGGCGGAUCUAUUGAUGUCUGCCGUACCGUAGCUAACGCGUUAAGUGUUCCGCCUGGGGAGUACGGCCGCAAGGCUAAAACUCAAAGGAAUUGACGGGACCCCGCACAAGCGGCGGAGCAUGCGGCUUAAUUCGAUGCAACCCGAAGAACCUUACCUGGACUUGACAUCAUGGGUCUACCUGUGGAAACACAGGGUGCUUUUGCGCCCAUGACAGGUGGUGCAUGGCUGUCGUCAGCUCGUGUCGUGAGAUGUCGGGUUAAGUCCCUUAACGAGCGAAACCCUUGUCCCUAGUUGCCAGCGGGUCAUGCCGGGGACUCUAGGGAGACUGCCGGUGUUAAACCGGAGGAAGGUGGGGAUGACGUCAAGUCCUCAUGGCCUUUAUGACCAGGGCUGCACACGUCCUACAAUGGCGCGCACAAAGGGAAGCGAACUCGCGAGAGCAAGCAAAUCCCAAAAAACGCGCCUCAGUUCGGAUUGCAGGCUGCAACUCGCCUGCAUGAAGCCGGAAUCGCUAGUAAUCGUGGGUCAGCAUACCACGGUGAAUGUGUUCCUGAGCCUUGUACACGCCGCCCG